AUCUGAAAGAAUGUAAAUGGGUUGCGGGAGUGUUCAGGUAUCUGUACAGAAAAAAACAUUGACUCACAUUGGAGAAAAAGAAUUAGGAAGAUUACCAGCAAGUAUGCAACCGGUAUAGGAGGCAACACAGCAA
rnacentral:lncRNA from 1 species